UACGUAGGUGGCAAGCGUUGUCCGGAUUUACUGGGCGUAAAGAGUGCGCAGGCGGUCGUACAAGUCGCGUGUGAAAGCCCCCGGCUCAACUGGGGAGGGUCACGCGAUACUGUUCGACUCGAAGGCAGGAGAGGGAAGCAGAAUUCCCGGUGUAGUGGUGAAAUGCGUAGAUAUCGGGAGGAAUACCAGUGGCGAAGGCGGCUUCCUGGCCUGUUCUUGACGCUGAGGCGCGAAAGCUAGGGUAGCAAACGGG
rnacentral:rRNA from 1 species